rnacentral:rRNA from 1 species
CCUACGGGUGGCAGCAGUGAGGAAUAUUGGUCAAUGGACGCAAGUCUGAACCAGCCAUGCCGCGUGCAGGAAGACGGCUCUAUGAGUUGUAAACUGCUUUUGUACGAGGGUAAACGCAGAUACGCGUACCUGUCUGAAAGUAUUUUACGAAUAAGGAUCGGCUAACUCCGUGCCAGCAGCCGCGGUAAUACGGAGGAUUCAAGCGUUAUCCGGAUUUAUUGGGUUUAAAGGGUGCGUAGGCGGUCGGAUAAGUUAGUGGUGAAAUUCCGAGGCUCAACUUCAGAAUUGCACCUGAUACUGUUCGGCUAGAGAGUAGUUGCGGUAGGCGGAAUGUAUGGUGUAGCGGUGAAAUGCUUAGAGAUCAUAAAGAACACCGAUUGCGAAGGCAGCUUACCAAGCUACUUCUGACGUUGAGGCACGAAAGCGUGGGGAGCAAACAGGAUUAGAUACCCCAGUAGUC